UACGUAGGGGGCAAGCGUUGUCCGGAUUUAUUGGGCGUAAAGAGCGUGUAGGCGGCCUGGAAGGUCAGCUGUGAAAACUCGAGGCUCAACCUCGAGACGUCGGUUGAAACCACCUGGCUAGAGUCCGGAAGAGGAGAGUGGAAUUCCCGGUGUAGCGGUGAAAUGCGCAGAUAUCGGGAAGAACACCCGUGGCGAAGGCGGCUCACUGGUCCGGUACUGACGCUGAGGUGCGAAAGCGUGGGGAGCAAACAGG
rnacentral:rRNA from 1 species